CUACGUAGGUGGCGAGCGUUGUCCGGAAUUACUGGGUGUAAAGGGCGUGUAGGCGGGGAUGCAAGUCAGAUGUGAAGUACUAAGGCUUAACCUUGGGGCUGCAUCUGAAACUGUGUUUCUUGAGUGUCGGAGAGGAAAGCGGAAUUCCCAGUGUAGCGGUGAAAUGCGUAGAGAUUGGGAGGAACACCAGUGGCGAAGGCGGCUUUCUGGACGACAACUGACGCUGAGGCGCGAAAGCGUGGGGAGCAAACAGGAUUAGAUACCCUGGUAGUCCACGCCGUAAACGAUGGAUACUAGGUGUAGGAGGUAUCGACCCCUUCUGUGCCGGAGUUAACACAAUAAGUACCCCGCCUGGGGAGUACGGUCGCAAGACUGAA
rnacentral:rRNA from 1 species